rnacentral:misc_RNA from 1 species
GCAGACCUGGCCCUCGAAACUGAUCAAGGCCUACAUCCCGUUCGGCGCGGGCAGCGCGACCGACGUGGUGCCGCGCAUGUUUUUUGAGCGGCUGUCGACCGAACUGGGGCAGUCGAUCGUGGUAGAAAACCGCGCCGGCGCCGGCGGCACGAUCGGGACCGCCGCCGUGGUCCGCUCCGAUCCGGACGGAUACUCGAUCCUCGCCCAUUCCUCGGCGAUCACCAUCGCGCCGGCGAUCUUNNNNNGACUUACGAUGCCACCAAGGAUCUGUCGUCGGCGCUGAUGAUCGGCUACAG